rnacentral:sRNA from 1 species
CCGAAACCGGCGCGGAGCAACUGAGGCCUGAGCCUUCCCGGGACCUGGGGGACGCCUAACCCCGCGAGAUGAGGAAACUGAGGCCGCGAGGAGCGCGCACACAGCAGAGAAGCAGCAGAAUCGGGAAUCAAACCCAGCUCUGUCUGACCCCAGAGCCUGUGCCCUUAACCACUGGCCAGGCUGAACGGCCUUUGUUCUUCACUGUCCCCAUCACCUCUUUCAAACCUCAGCCUCUCCUUCCUCAUCGUUACAUCUCUAGGCUGCACCUGGUCUCUAAACAUUCACACAACCCCUGCAAAUUUUCUUCCUCAUAAUUGGGAGAAGACUCACUGGCCGAAUGGCAGCAGUAGAUGACUUGCAAUUUGAAGUUACUUGCUGGACAGAAGAAAAGCUCCCCCUUCUGGACAUUUGAAUACUACCAAACAUUCUUUGACGUGGACACCUACCAGGUCUUUGACAGAAUUAAAGGAUCUCUUUUGCCAAUACCCGGGAAAAAUUUUGUGAGGUUAUAUAUCCGCAGCAAUCCCGAUCUCUAUGGCCCCUUUUGGAUAUGUGCCACGUUGGUCUUUGCCAUAGCAAUUAGUGGGAAUCUUUCCAACUUCUUGAUCCAUCUGGGAGAGAAGACGUACCGUUAUGUGCCCGAAUUCCGAAAAGUGUCCAUAGCAGCUACCAUCAUCUAUGCCUAUGCCUGGCUGGUUCCUCUUGCACUCUGGGGUUUCCUCAUGUGGAGAAACAGCAAAGUUAUGAACAUCGUCUCCUAUUCAUUUCUGGAGAUUGUGUGUGUCUAUGGAUAUUCCCUCUUCAUUUAUAUCCCUACCGCAAUACUGUGGAUUAUCCCCCAGAAAGCUGUUCGUUGGAUUCUAGUCAUGAUUGCCCUGGGCAUCUCAGGAUCUGUCUUGGCAAUGACAUUUUGGCCAGCUGUUCGUGAGGAUAACCGACGCGUUGCGUUGGCCACAAUUGUGACAAUUGUGUUGCUUCAUAUGCUGCUUUCUGUGGGCUGCUUGGUAUG